GACGAACGCUGGCGGCGUGCUUAACACAUGCAAGUCGAACGAUGAAGCUAGAGCAUGCUCUGGUGGAUUAGUGGCGAACGGGUGAGUAACACGUGAGUAACCUGCCCCGAACUCUGGGAUAACUGCUGGAAACGGUAGCUAAUACCGGAUAUGACCAAUGAAGGCAUCUUCUGUUGGUGGAAAGAAUUUCGGUUCGGGAUGGACUCGCGGCCUAUCAGCUUGUUGGUGAGGUAACGGCUCACCAAGGCGACGACGGGUAGCCGGCCUGAGAGGGUGAUCGGCCACACUGGGACUGAGACACGGCCCAGACCCCUACGGGAGGCAGCAGUGGGGAGUAUUGCACAAUGGGCGCAAGCCUGAUGCAGCAACGCCGCGUGAGGGACGACGGCCUUCGGGUUGUAAACCUCUUUUAGUAGGGAAGAAGCGAAAGUGACGGUACCUGCAGAAAAAGCACCGGCUAACUACGUGCCAGCCGCCGCAGUAA
rnacentral:rRNA from 1 species